rnacentral:rRNA from 1 species
ACGAACGCUGGCGGCGUGCCUAAUACAUGCAAGUCGAGCGGAAUGAUGAAGAAGCUUGCUUCUUCUGAUUUUAGCGGCGGACGGGUGAGUAGCACGUGGGCAACCUACCUUGUAGAUUGGGAUAACUCCGGGAAACCGGGGCUAAUACCGAAUAAUCCAUUUUGCUUCAUGGCGAGAUGUUGAAAGACGGUUUCGGCUGUCACUACAAGAUGGGCCCGCGGCGCAUUAGCUAGUUGGUAGGGUAAUGGCCUACCAAGGCGACGAUGCGUAGCCGACCUGAGAGGGUGAUCGGCCACACUGGGACUGAGACACGGCCCAGACUCCUACGGGAGGCAGCAGUAGGGAAUCUUCCACAAUGGACGAAAGUCUGAUGGAGCAACGCCGCGUGAGUGAAGAAGGUUUUCGGAUCGUAAAACUCUGUUGUAAGGGAAGAACACGUACGAGAGUAACUGCUCGUACCUUGACGGUACCUUAUUAGAAAGCCACGGCUAACUACGUG